rnacentral:rRNA from 1 species
CGAUUCUGGCUCAGGAUGAACGCUAGCUACAGGCUUAACACAUGCAAGUCGAGGGGCAGCAUGACGAUAGCUUGCUAUUGUUGAUGGCGACCGGCGCACGGGUGAGUAACGCGUAUCCAACCUGCCCUUGUCCAUCGGAUAACCCGUCGAAAGGCGGCCUAACACGAUAUGCAGUCCACAGAAGGCAUCUGACGCGGACGAAAUGUGAAGGAGAAGGAUGGGGAUGCGUCUGAUUAGCUUGUUGGCGGGGUAACGGCCCACCAAGGCGACGAUCAGUAGGGGUUCUGAGAGGAAGGUCCCCCACAUUGGAACUGAGACACGGUCCAAACUCCUACGGGAGGCAGCAGUGAGGAAUAUUGGUCAAUGGGCGAGAGCCUGAACCAGCCAAGUAGCGUGCAGGAUGACGGCCCUAUGGGUUGUAAACUGCUUUUAUGCGGGGAUAAAGUGAGCCACGUGUGGCUUAUUGCAAGUACCGCAUGAAUAAGGACCGGCUAAUUCCGUGCCAGCAGCCGCGGUAAUACGGAAGGUCCGGGCGUUAUCCGGAUUUAUUGGGUUUAAAGGGAGCGUAGGUCGUCUGAUAAGCGUGUUGUGAAAUGUCGGGGCUCAACCUGGGCAUUGCAGCGCGAACUGUGAGACUUGAGUGCGCGGGAAGUAGGCGGAAUUCGUCGUGUAGCGGUGAAAUGCUUAGGUAUGACGAAGAACUCCGAUUGCGAAGGCAGCCUGCUGUAGCGCAACUGACGCUGAAGCUCGAAAGCGUGGGUAUCGAACAGGAUUAGAUACCCUGGUAGUCCACGCGGUAAACGAUGGAUGCUCGCUGUUUGCGUCUGACGUAAGCGGCCAAGCGAAAGCGUUAAGCAUCCC